UGCCUAGUAACUAGUUGAUGAAGUUGGGCCAUAUCGCUCAAUUGUAUUGCGAUGUAUUGCGCAAUAUUGCUGCUUAUUGCUGUUUGAUGACGAAAAUUG